rnacentral:rRNA from 1 species
AACGAACGAUGGCGGCAGGCCUAAUACAUGCAAGUAGAGCGCCCAGCAAUGGGAGCGGCGCACGGGUGCGUAACGCGUGGGAAUAUGCCAUUAGGUACGGAACAACCAAGGGAAACUUUGGCUAAUACCGUAUAAUAUCUUCGGAUCAAAGAAUUUCGCCUAGCGAUUAGCCCGCGUCUGAUUAGGUAGUUGGUGGGGUAAGGGCCUACCAAGGCGACGAUCAGUAGCUGGUCUGAGAUGAUGAUCAGCCACACUGGAACUGAGACACGGUCCAGACUCCUACGGGAGGCAGCAGUAAGGAAUAUUGGACAAUGGGGGCAACCGUGAGCCAGCCAUGCCGCGUGAGUGCCGAAGGCCUUAGGGUUGUAAAGCUCUGUUGGUGGGGAAGAUAAUGACUGUACCCACAGAAUAAGCCCCGGCUAAAUUCGUACCAGCCGCCGCGGUAA